UACGAAGGGGGCUAGCGUUGUUCGGAAUUACUGGGCGUAAAGGGCGCGUAGGCGGCACGGCAAGUCGGGAGUGAAAGGCCUGGGCUCAACCGAGGAACUGCUUUCGAGACUGCCGAGCUAGAGUGCGGAAGGGGCAACUGGAAUUCCCAGUGUAGCGGUGAAAUGCGUAGAUAUUGGGAAGAACACCUGAGGCGAAGGCGGGUUGCUGGGCCGACACUGACGGCUG
rnacentral:rRNA from 1 species